UUGGGAAUUUUGCGCAAUGGACGAAAGUCUGACGCAGCGACGCCGCGUGGAGGAUGAAGGCCUUCGGGUUGUAAACUCCUUUUGAUGGGGAGUAAUUUGUGAACGUACCCAUCGAAUAAGCACCGGCUAACUCCGUGCCAGCAGCCGCGGUAAGACGGAGGGUGCAAACGUUGUCCGGAAUCACUGGGCGUAAAGCGCAUGUAGGCGGUUUAGUAAGUCUUGUAUUAAAGACCGAUGCUUAACAUCGGGUCAGUACUAGAUACUGCUAGACUAGAGGAAGACAGGGGUACGUGGAACUUUAGGUGUAGGAGUGAAAUCCGUAGAUAUCUAAAGGAACACCAAUGGCGAAGGCAGCGUACUGGGUCUUUUCUGACGCUGAGAUGCGAAAGCGUGGGGAGCAAACGGG
rnacentral:rRNA from 1 species